AAGUCGUAACAAGGUUUCCGUAGGUGAACCUGCGGAAGGAUCAUUUCCAAAUUUCAAAAAGAAUGAAAAGAGAAAGCGCUGAAAAAAAAUUAAUUUCUUUUUUUCAACCUUUUUCUUUUUACUCUUUUUAAACCAAAUUAACAAAAACACCAUUUGUAUUCUAAAACAUACGUCUAACAUUCUUAAACGGAAAAAAUAAUUUUUUCUUUAAAAAAAUACAACUUUUAACAACGGAUCUCUUGGCUCUC
rnacentral:misc_RNA from 1 species